rnacentral:rRNA from 1 species
UACGUAGGGGGCAAGCGUUGUUCGGAAUUACUGGGCGUAAAGGGCGCGUAGGCGGCACGACGAGUCGGGAGUGAAAGCCCGGGGCUCAACCCCGGAGGGUCUCUCGAUACUGUCGAGCUAGAGUGCGGAAGAGGCAGCCGGAAUUCUCAGUGUAGCGGUGAAAUGCGUAGAUAUUGAGAAGAACACCAGAGGCGAAGGCGGGCUGCUGGGCCGACACUGACGCUGAGGCGCGAAAGCCAGGGGAGCAAACGGG